UGUACGACUCUCGGCAANGGAUAUCUAGGCUCUCGCAUCGAUGAAGAACGUAGCGAAAUGCGAUACUUGGUGUGAAUUGCAGAAUCCCGUGAACCAUCGAGUCUUUGAACGCAAGUUGCGCCCGAGACCAUCCGGUCGAGGGCACGCCUGCCUGGGCGUCACGC
rnacentral:rRNA from 1 species